GAGCUGCUGGCGCUGAGGAAGAGAAGAAAGAAUGAUUCACAAUACUUUUUGUUUUUAUUUACACCUCAAUUUCUUAUAAUAAAAAAAA
rnacentral:ribozyme from 1 species